AUUUACCUGGGUAAUGGUUCUGUUUUUCAGUGUCCAUCGUACAUAAUAACGGAUAGGAAUCACAAGUGUGUAGAGGACAUGGAGGAAGGCAAAUCCCAGAGCUACCAAGCCAAGCUGCUUUCUGCAAAGCAUCCAGUGGUCAAGCCAGUCUGGGAAUCGGCGGUAUUUUGUACCUCGGUACAGUUGCAGAAUGGCAGCAAUAACACCAGGGAGUUCUGUGUAACAGAAAACACAACAGGAAUACCCCCUAGAUUGGAAAAGCUCCAGGACUGAUUUUUGUCUCCUAUGGAAGCAUCUCCCACAGAGGCUCCUGGAGACCAGGGCCAAACAGGUAAUUCGUGGAUCCACUGAGGUUAAAUCAGGAUACAGAGCUAUUCCAGCACUACCCUGUGAUUGUUGUACUUGCCCUCUUCCCUGCACUCCUAACCCUUGGAAACCAUGCAUCUGUUCUUUAAAUCUCUAAUUUUGUCAUUUUUGAAAUGUUUUAUUUUUUUUAUUUUUUAUUUUUUUUGAAAUGUUUUAUAAAUGAAAUCACACCAAAUGUGAUCUUUUCAUAAUGGCUUUUUUUUCCCAUUUCACAUAAUGCCCUUGAGGUCUAUCCACUUUGGUAUGUGUAUCAGUAGGUUCUUUUUUAUUGUUCAGUAGUGGUCCACUGUAUGGACUUCAUUUGCUUAUUUUUUACCUAUAGGCCAUUUGGUGAAAAGUCAUCUCACCUUAUACCAUCUUCCAGUCAGAUUUUUAUGUUUUAGCUGUUGAAUUUUUAUAUAUUCUAGAUAUGAAUUAUUUGUCAGAUAUGUGGUCUUCAAAUAUUUCAUCCCGCUCUGUGGCUUGUUUUGUCAUCAUCCUAGCAGGGUUAUUGAUAUAGCAGAAGUUUUAAAUUUUGAUUAAAUUUAAUAUAUUGCUUUUUUUCUUUUAUGGAUUGUGCUUUUCAUGUCAUAUAUAGGAAUUCCUCACUUAAACUUUGGUCCUGAAUAUUUUCUCCUCAAAGCUUGAUAGUUUUAUAUUUCACAUUUAAAUCCAUUAUCCAUUUUGAGUUAAUUUUUAUAUAAAGUCUGAGGUUUAAGCCAAGUUUAUUUAUUUUUUUGCCUAUGAAUAUCUAAUUGCUUCCCUACCUGUUAUUUAAAAGGCCAUCCUUCUUUCAUUGAAUUGCUUUUGUACCUUUGUCAAAAAUCAGUUGCCUGCACACGUGUGGCUCUAUUUCUGGCCUCUCUAUUCUGUUCUAUUGAUCUAUGCAUCUGCCUUCUGCCAAUUCUAAGUAGCUUUGAUGCCUUAAAAUUAGGUAGACUGAUUCUUCCCACUUUUUUUUUUUUAAUUUUCAGAAUUGUUUCAGAUAUUCUAGUUCCUUUGCCUUUCAAUGUAAGUUUUAGGAUAAUCUUGUCCAUAGCUAUAAACAAUUGUAUAUUUUAACUGCUUAUACUCCAACAAAUCACUGAUUUUGGCAUAUUCUAAAAAUACAACACAACCUAUUUUGUUUAUUUAGGAGAUAAUUACAGUUUGUAUAACGAUAUUAAUUUAUGUUAAAGCAUAAUAGCAAUGUACGGUUAUCUGAUAAAUAGAUACAAAUCUAAAGUUGUAUAAUGGACUUCUUUUCAUCCUAAGCAGUAUAUUUCUGUAUAUGCAUAGCUGUCAUUUGGAAAAUACAUCAAAAUAAAAAUUUAAA